rnacentral:tRNA from 1 species
GCCCAAGUGGCGGAAUUGGUAGACGCGCUGGCUUCAGGAGCCAGUGUCCAUUGCGGACGUGGAGGUUCGAGUCCUCUCUUGGGCACCC